UAGGGAAUCUUCGGCAAUGGACGGAAGUCUGACCGAGCAACGCCGCGUGAGUGAAGAAGGUUUUCGGAUCGUAAAGCUCUGUUGUAAGAGAAGAACGAGUGUGAGAGUGGAAAGUUCACACUGUGACGGUAUCUUACCAGAAAGGGACGGCUAACUACGUGCCAGCAGCCGCGGUAAUACGUAGGUCCCGAGCGUUGUCCGGAUUUAUUGGGCGUAAAGCGAGCGCAGGCGGUUAGAUAAGUCUGAAGUUAAAGGCUGUGGCUUAACCAUAGUACGCUUUGGAAACUGUUUAACUUGAGUGCAAGAGGGGAGAGUGGAAUUCCAUGUGUAGCGGUGAAAUGCGUAGAUAUAUGGAGGAACACCGGUGGCGAAAGCGGCUCUCUGGCUUGUAACUGACGCUGAGGCUCGAAAGCGUGGGGAGCAAACAGGAUUAGAUACCCUGGUAGUCCACGCCGUAAACGAUGAGUGCUAGGUGUUAGACCCUUUCCGGGGUUUAGUGCCGUAGCUAACGCAUUAAGCACUCCGCCUGGGGAGUACGACCGCAGAGGUUG
rnacentral:rRNA from 1 species